rnacentral:tRNA from 1 species
UCGGAUAUGGUGUAACGGCUAACAUUGCCGCCUCUCAUCUUUGAGAGAGUUUCCGCGGCAGCUCGGGGUUCGAUUCCCCGUAUCCGAA